rnacentral:tRNA from 1 species
GGUUCCAUAGUGUAAUGGUUAGCAUGUCUGCUUUACACGCAGAAAGUCCUGGGUUCAUACCCCAGUGGAGCCA